UCCAUGCAGGGUUGUGGUCAUUCUCGACCAU
rnacentral:piRNA from 1 species